UAGCUCAGUCAGUUGAGUGUGGCGCUAACAACGCUAAGGUCAUGGGUUCGAUUCCCGU
rnacentral:tRNA from 1 species